UUGUGACGGCUCACUUGUGUUUCCUAAAUAACCUAGGACCCGAGUUCUUGUUAUCUGUUCCGAGACUGAGCGCUCUAACCACACGUGGGUAUGCUUACCGGGUCUCCCUUCGACCACUGCCGGAAUCUACAGCUUUGUCCAGUGGCCACAACUAGUUUGGAUGUUUGUUUUGUUUCUCCCGGGCGUGCAAGCUUGUUUCUUUGUGGUCAGAUGAUAUGAUGUUACUCUUGGGGAAGCCAUGUUGCCUUGUAACCCCAUUGUCUCUUGCACGCUCGUAAGAUGCGGUACGUAUUGCUGAAGAUGGAUUCACCCUGCGGGCACUGUUUCCAUCCGAAAGCCGUAGACGCAAACAGCUAAGUCCGCGUCGGAGUUUCGAUCGGGCUCCGAAACGGGUUAACUUAGUUAGGUGGCUUCCUGGACAUUGUUGUAGUGAAGGAGAGUGCGUGUCGUGAUAUCCACCUGUCGUAAGUGGGUUGAUCGUGCGUGUGGGAACAUUUGGGCACCCCUGCAGGGUUACAAUCUUAUCGAUAAGCCGCGUCCGCGGUUAUGGACGACUUGGAGUUGUAUGACUCGAUCAUAGACAACAUACACCUGUUGUUUCAAUAAUAAUAACUUGCAUAGUAAGAUAGAAUAACUUAAAUAAUAACUGGUUAAAACUUGUCAAUAGUGUGAGUGCCUUUUUAAGUACCUCCUUGCGAGGGGGGAACACAUCGGCUGUGUUAUAUUUGCAGAGUAUAGAACUGUUAGUUGUGCGCUCUCUCACCUUCUCUGAUUAGACGAAUGUUGUAGAGUGUCUCUAUAGUUUUUUUUAGUGCUUGCGCGCUGCCCCUUAACCCCACCAUAUUGCCUAUGACGUUCCUCUUGCGUCCUCUAAGUCCCCUGUGUGCCUCAAGUACAAAGGACGACUGGUUGACGAAUGCUUAUACGUCUUGAAGUCUUGUUAAGUACGAACCCGUACUUAUUGCUGCUUCUACGGGAUAUAACCGGGCAGGUAUGAAGAUAUGUUCGAUGAAGACGACGUUAGCAACGUUAGCCUUCCGGCUUGGCCUGGGCAGGGUUAUGGACGCCACUGGUUAUCUUCAGGACUCUAAGUCCAAUUUGUAUCUUGUCCGUACUCGGACGUAUUCGAUCUUCUGUAUGAGUUGGAUCUUUGUAUUGUAUAUUUGUAUCUUGACUCAUUGGAGUCGUUGUUGUAAUAUAUGUUUCUUGUGGGCUCUAUUGUAAUCCUGUUGUAAUGUUA